rnacentral:lncRNA from 1 species
UGCAGCCCUCUUCACACUGAGGAGUGAACCGCGAAGUUCCAGCUCACAGGGGCGUCUUUCCCGGGUGUGUGCUUUUAGUCACAAAACUUUCGCCCUCUUAAAUUUGCCUUUGUGAGGGCUCGGUGAGUCUCUGCAGCUGUACUGCGGUAAUACAUGCAGCUUUUCACACGCCAUGAGUACGCACGUGUGGAUACAUGGGCUACAGGAAAAGUCCGGAAAGG